rnacentral:rRNA from 1 species
AUACGUAGGGAGCAAGCGUUGUCCGGAUUUACUGGGUGUAAAGGGUGCGUAGGCGGCUCUGCAAGUCAGGCGUGAAGUAUAUGGGCUUAACCCAUAGACUGCGUUUGAAACUGUGGAGCUUGAGUGAAGUAGAGGUAGGCGGAAUUCCCGGUGUAGCGGUGAAAUGCGUAGAGAUCGGGAGGAACACCAGUGGCGAAGGCGGCCUACUGGGCUUUACCUGACGCUGAGGCACGAAAGCAUGGGUAGCAAACAGGAUUAGAUACCCUGGUAGUCCAUGCCGUAAACGAUGAUUACUAGGUGUGGGGGGUCUGACCCCUUCCGUGCCGGAGUUAACACAAUAAGCAAUCCACCUGGGGAGUACGACCGCAAGGUUGA